rnacentral:rRNA from 1 species
GACAGAGGUGCCGAGCGUUAGGCGGAGUCACUGGGCUUAAAGCGUGUGUAGGCGGGCGAUCAAGUACCUUGUGAAAUCCCACGGCUCAACCGUGGAACCGCUGGGUAUACUGGUUGUCUUGAGCCGGCUAGGGGCGAGCGGAACAGACGGUGGAGCGGUGAAAUGCGUAGAUAUCGUCUGGAACGCCGAAGGUGAAAACAGCUCGCUGGGGCCGCGCUGACGCUGAGACACGAAAGCCAGGGGAGCGAACGGG